CCUGUCGGGACCCGAAAGAUGG
rnacentral:siRNA from 1 species